GGUCCCUUCCAUCUCUGGCAUUCCAUGUUCUACAGUUCUAAAUUCCCUUCUGGUUUUGACAUUCUCUGAUACUACGUCAAGAUCUAAACCACCCAAGAGAGAUGACUAUCUGUUCUCAUGGACCUCUAAAGACCCAGGAUCACAGCCUGUGAACAGAUCUACUGAGCAGGAGGUUAACUAGAAGAGGAAGGGUCAGGUAAGAGCAGUCCAUCAAAACAGGCACCACUGUGCAACACUUCCCCUCCUGCCCUCUGAAC
rnacentral:lncRNA from 1 species